GUACGGCGCACUAACGCGCACUAAUCUGAGUUAGCCAUCUUGAUUGUAAGCGUGGUCGCGAGUAAUUUUUUUCAGGUGAUCGUAUCACGAGUUAGUUCCCCUCACACAAGCCAACACAUUCAGACCCGGCUUGUGUUAUAAGUGCAGCUUGUGCUAGAGCUUCUACGUUCUUAAAAGACAAUAUUUAACAGCUCGAAUCUUCGGUACGGGUUGUACCACACUGAAAGGAGUUAUUGCACUCUCACAAGCCAACAACUAUCGGCUUGAUCUAUCGGUGCGGGUUGCACCACUGAGUGUCUGAAAGUGUUUUAAAGUGUCUGAAGCCACCUGAAAGUGCCAGAAAGUGAAAUAAGUUGUAUUGCAGUUGCUUUCUCCUUGCACUGUUGAGAAUUCACGGAGGCAUAUCUCAAAACAAAGCAGGCAAAUGAUGUAGAGGAAAAUCCAGGCCCUACAAUAUUUGAUGUCAUCGAUCCAACAAGAACAAUAUGUGCUGACUACAGUCAAGGAAAUGAAGCUCUCUUUGGUGAAAAUGCUGAAAUAAAAGAACCCAAACACAACAUAUGAAAAGGAAGCAAAAGUCUUUAACUGAAACGCCAGAAGAAAAAGAAAAACAAUUGAUUGCUAGACAUGAAUAUGAGAAACAAGGAAGGGUAAAUGGAAGUGAGGAAUCUAGGGACAAGAGGCUGGCCCAGCAGCUUCUGAACAGGGAAAAGAAACGUGCAAAUGAAUCUUCUGAAUCAAGAAAAAAGAGGCUGGCAACCCAAUCUCAGUAUCAAAGACAAAAAUUGCAAAUGAAUCAGCAGAAUGUAGAGAGAAGAGACUGUUAAACCAACGCCAAUAUCAGAAUGAAACUAGAUGCAUAAUUGUGUUCACCUAGGUUUUCUGUUGGAAAUAAACUUUGUUUUUUGUGCUUGCAUUUGUUUUUAUGCAAUUAUUGGUUUAUCCUGUAACUGUUUUCGUGUGGUUUACACGAAGUGUAACCCAAGCUAUGUCAUGAUCCAAGAUACUUAUUCCUUGCUGGAUUUGUCACGGUGAAAAGAGUGCUUGUCACGUGGGUUACUAUUGUUGAAGAUAGGUUCCAGUCUAUGCUCGGCUAAGUUACCUAAGCUUCAAAGCUUCAGAAAGCAACCCAUUUUGCAAUGGUGGCUGUAACACGCUGUCAAAGAUUGUUUUUUUAUCUAGUUUUUCAUUCAUCUUUGUUGCUUAGAUUUCACACGCCAGCUUUCUUACAGUCAGCUUGUCUUCUAAGUGCAGAUUACAGCAUGGAGUUGUGCUCUCACAGGCCAACAUUUCAUGGUCUGGACCUUUAGUGCAGGUUGCGCCACCUUGAAACUUAGGAGUCAUUAUUGACUCUCUGUGUGGUCAAAUUUCAUGUAAGUCAUUUACUGGAACAUUUUUAAUCCUGAAUUUCUGUCUAUACCAUAUGCUCAGUAAGAAAAUUACUUAACCAGUCUUUUUAGCACAUGCAAAGAUAAAAUUUUGGUCAAA